rnacentral:tRNA from 1 species
CCACAGGGUAGUAUAAUGAAUACUUUUUGCUUACACCAAAAAACUGGCACAUAACCCCCUUUG